GGCCACAGGAAGGUAAACAGCCCAAGAUUACCCGCCAUGCCCCGUAUCGACGAGCCGGAGCCAGACCCCUGCUGGAGUGGAGGACGCAUCGCUCCCCGAGACAGACCGUAACGCAGGAAGUAGUCUUUGUGGAAAAAAGUGAAGAGUCAAGCGUCACCUGCUCAGAGAGAAGCUGCACAUGCUCAGGGGUGUGCACCUGUGGCAUGGAGACGGAGAGUGUCACAGCUGAUCCCCUUAGUGGCCUGUAAACAGUUUGCUGACCGAGGCCAGGCCUCCUCUUUGCGAACCUCAACCAGAACCAAUCAACAGAAGAAAGCGAUGGCACUGCAACUUAUUACAGUGCAGCGGAGGCCACAGAGAAUCUGAAGAAGAGGAAGGUUCUGGGAGCUUCACAGGAGAAGAGACCCAAUCCACAGAAUCAACACAGGAAAAGGUGAAGAACUUUUCCUGGGAGACAGCAACACACUGGAGCUGUGACGCACAUCAAGAGAGAGUGAAGAUGACGCUCCAGGGAUUUCUGAACCAGGGAACACAACUUGAUCAUGUACUAAGCUGAACACCCGAGAAAUUCAGUUUCUCUGUCAAUUUGACUUUCCCUGGGUAAGGCUUGACACUUUAGUUUAACAACACUAAAUAUAAUUUAGUGUACCCAUUUCAGUUUAAUUUUACACUGGAAGUUACAAAUGUCUGCCUUAGAGAACUUGGAGAAUAAGCCAUUGUUCUGGGAGCUUGUUUUCUUGUUUAUUUUGACUACUACCUAUUUUGUAAUACUUUGAUUAUUCAUAACCUUGAGAUACUUUACACAGGAGAAGCCCCUCGUAAUGCAAGAGCUCUCCAAAAGGUUUUUGGGAAAUUCUGAUUUUAAGUAGAAACCACAGUUCUCUCAUUUGUUCUGUUUCAGUUAAAGUUCCAAGUUUUGUCAGAUGUGUGUUGUGGCUUUUUUGUCACCCAAGGCUUACAAUGUAAAUGCUGUUUCUUAUGCAAGACAUAUCCUUUCAGCAGUAUAGUUUAUUAACACUUAAUGAGGUUAAAAAAGAGGUAAACUUAUUGCUGGAAUGAAAGAGGAAAACCAUCAUAAUUUUUUGGCAGGAGACCCACUUAACCAAAAAAGGGCAUAAACACCCCAGAUUUAAAAACAUAAUUUAUUCAUCAAAUACAAAGGGACCCAAUAGGGGAGUUGCAAUUCUAAUUUUAAAACAAAUUCCUUCCAGCUGAGGAAGGACUAUAUAUUUUGGUAAAAGGAAUUCUAGACUCUAAAGUAGUGAUGCUACUUAACAUCUACAGAUGUCCUGGACAACACAAAUCAUUAUUAAGGACCAUGUUUGAUUUAGUCGCUACAGAGACAUCAGGUGUUCUGAUAUGUGGUGGAGACUGAAAUGUACAAUUACACCCUACCUUGGACUCCUCAAACCUAUCAAAAAUCGAAAUCCUGAAUCUCUUAGUACUAAAACAAUUUGGAAUCAAAGAGCAGAUCAUAGGUUGUUUGAAAUUGCUGUACAGUCGUCCAACUGUCCGGAUAAAAAUUAAUGGAAAACUGUCUAGGACUAUUACGCUUGAAAGAGGAUGUCUUCAGAGGUGUCCCCUAAGCUUUACUUUGUUUGCAGUCUUUAUAGAGCCCCAGUUCAAUAGAUUAGAGAAGACAAGGAAAUCGAAAAUCCGGACUCUAGCCUCCCUAAAUUGAUGACUCGUCUUAAACAAUUUAGCAAAUACUCGGGUUACAUAUUAAAUAUACAAAAAAACCAAACUCUAACUUACAUCUAAGUACCAAAAUAAAACAUACGUAAAAUGUAUAAUUUCAAAUGGAAUACUAACAAACUGACAUAUCUUGGAGUCACCAUAACAUAGGAUUUGACAGAAAUUUAUAACUUAAAUUAUAACGCUAUCACACAAAAUAUAAAAGUGGAUUCAGGAAGAUGGGCACCUUUGUAUGGCAGAAUAGAAAUUGUGACCAUUUUUUUUUUUUCACAAUUUUUCACCGUCUGUUGUUUCUUUUUCAGUCCCUGCCAAUUGAAAUCCCCCCCAGAACAACUUAAUGAGUGGAAAAGAAUGAUCUCACAACUUAUUUGGCAGGACCCCAGGGUACAACUUAAGACUCUACAGUUACCAAAAGACCAAGGUGGAUUGUCUUUACCUAACCUGGAGGACAAUUACAAUUACAGCUUCAGUACUUGGUUAGACUUUGUGAUGGUAGAUACGAAGCAAAAUGAAAAUAUUUGGAACUUACCCAAUUAGACAGUCUUUAUUGGGCGAUAUAAGCCUACAGGAAAAACACGUGUAAACCGAGUACAUUAAAGUAGCUUUAAAUAUAGGGAUUAAAGAAGGUAAAAAAUAAUCAUUUAGAAAGGAAAAUGCGAACACUAAGAUGGGUAGGAUAUGAUACAGACUUUACACUAGCACAUUUGGAUGUGGUGUUUAGAGAAUGGACUUGGAAGGGUAUUACAGCAUACUGUAAAAUCACAGCCAAAAUAGACGUGGGCAGAUUCUUACCACUCAGUGAAACUUACAGGUUAAAUAAAACAGCUUUUUAUAAACAAUUGAGACACAAUUUUAAUAAAAAUAAUAAAGUUGUAAGGGAGUGAGUGCCUCAUUGACAUAUCUGUGAACACCUAGAAAGGUAAAGUACAUAAAAGGCUGAUCUCUAAACUAUAUUCAUGUUUACAAUCAUUCAGGAAGCACUACACCCAAUAUGUUAAGACCAAAUGGGAGAAAGAAGCAGAUAUCACACUUACGGAUGAAGACUGGUUAAAUAUUUGUAAGACAAACACCAGCACGUCAAGCUCCCCUCUUUGAAGGGAAUAUUCCUGGAAGAAUUAUGUUAGAUUUUUCAUUAACCCUAAAAAUAAACCACUACAGAAUAGCAAAUCUGAAUCUGGUAACUGCUGGAGACAAUGUGGCAACACUAUGGCUGAUCACUAUCACAUAUUCUGGACCUGUCCCGCUAUUAAAUCUUAUUGGAGAGAGAAAACGAGGAUUAAAAAGGUGAAAGAUAUUUGUGAAAUGGAAAACAUUUACCUUUUCUCUCAGACUCUGUAAAGAAAAAAUUCAAAGAUAUGGUCAUACAAAAUUAUCUUCCCAUCUCAAUCUCUUUUCAUUUAACUUUAUUUCCUGGACCUUUUUUAGUGCUCAACUGGACUUUUCUCCAUUUUGUGCUGAAUGGGCAUUUGUGUAGACACAUACAACAAUAUGUAAAAGUUUGUAUGUAUCCACAUGUAGGUAUCUGAAGGUGUGUGUAUAUGUAUGUAGGUGUGGGUGUAUGUGUACAGUAUGUGUGUAUAUAUGCACAUAUAUGAAGGCGCAAGAUGCACUGUGUAUUUCUAAAGAAAAAAAACUUAAUAAAAUUAAAGUUUGAAAAAAAAGCAGUGGAAGUGAGCGAAGGUAGGGGCAAAGAUUAAAUGGCGGAAGUUGAAGAAAAAUAAAUGUUACACAGAGUUCACGGAGGAGGUGAAACAAGCUUUUGGAGGCAGGUAGAGUUAACAGAGGACUGAGUAGUGAGAGGAAAGA